CGUUAUGUCUUUUAAGUUGAGGCUCUUGCGUGUUUGGAAAUGUUAUAAAACACAGUAUGUAGAUGGGGAUGGACAGGCAGCAUUGUGUGUGUGUGUUUUGGCAGGCAGGGGAUGGCUGUGAAUGGAGCAGAGCUGAAAGAAGAUUUGAAAGAGAGGCUCUGUGAAAGGCAUGUGCAGAAUGUGACUAGGCACCAGGGAAGAGAGGGAAAGGGAGAGAGAGAGAGAAAGAAAGAAAGCAGAAAGAGGGGCAAAGGGAGAGAGAGAGAGGGGUAAAAGAAAGUGGGAGAAGUGAGAGAAAGGCAGAGGGUAGAUUAGAGUGGGAGAAAGCGAGGGAGAGGUGGAGAGAGAGAGAAAGAGAGGAUCACAGAAGAGGAUGCUGAAGAGAAGAAGACAAGUGGUUGAGAUAGAACCAUCACGGCAGCGAGAGGGUGAGCCAUGCCAAAACCAAAAAAAGUAUGACAAUAGUUUACCGGAGUUAAAAAUAAAUACUUGGUGAAUGUCGGGUGAGUGCUUACAGCGAGAGAUUAAGCUCGAGGGCAGAAGAGAAGUGGGGGAAUCGCAAGGGAGAUUUAAACCGAAACACGAUAAGUACGCGCCAACUAGGCACUUUUCAAUGCUGAAAGACACCCAAAAAAACCUCUACAAAAACACUAGUUGGCCUCCGAACAUGGUGUUGAGCAUGUAGGUUUAACCUCUUUUACCCAUCGUGACAGAUUAUCAUGUGUUUUGCAGGUUUAUUUUCAUGCUGGAUGUCAGAGGUAGUGGACGGGAGCUAGUAAGCCCCUCAUCUUUCCUGCUUACUCCAUCAAGAAGUAUGCCUGGUACAGAAAUAGCGAGUUGAAGCAAGAUUACAGUGAGGGACCGAGAGAGAGAGAGAGAGGGAGCGAAGAGAGGAAGAAAGAGAUAGAGAGAGACUGCACGACAUUCUGGGUGCGGUAGGGGAACCCGAGCCGGGUCGGUCCAGGUGCUGAGACACGCAUGCGUGUGUGCGUGUGUGUUCGGGUGUAGGCGUGUGCGUGUGUGAGAGAGAGAGGAAUUCUGGGAUUGGGCGCCCUGAG